rnacentral:rRNA from 1 species
GACAGGAGCGGCAGCCUUACACAUGCAGUCGACGAUGACUCUCUAGCUUGCUAGAGAAGAUUAGUGGCGGACGGGUGAGUAACAUUUAGGAAUCUGCCUAGUAGUGGGGGAUAGCUCGGGGAAACUCGAAUUAAUACCGCAUACGACCUACGGGUGAAAGGGGGCGCAAGCUCUUGCUAUUAGAUGAGCCUAAAUCAGAUUAGCUAGUUGGUGGGGUAAAGGCCCACCAAGGCGACGAUCUGUAACUGGUCUGAGAGGAUGAUCAGUCACACCGGAACUGAGACACGGUCCGGACUCCUACGGGAGGCAGCAGUGGGGAAUAUUGGACAAUGGGGGCAACCCUGAUCCAGCCAUGCCGCGUGUGUGAAGAAGGCCUUUUGGUUGUAAAGCACUUUAAGCAGGGAGGAGAGGCUAAUGGUUAAUACCCAUUAGAUUAGACGUUACCUGCAGAAUAAGCACCGGCUAACUCUGUGCCAGCAGCCGCGGUAAUACAGAGGGUGCGAGCGUUAAUCGGAAUUACUGGGCGUAAAGCGAGUGUAGGUGGCUCAUUAAGUCACAUGUGAAAUCCCCGGGCUUAACCUGGGAACUGCAUGUGAUACUGGUGGUGCUAGAAUAUGUGAGAGGGAAGUAGAAUUCCAGGUGUAGCGGUGAAAUGCGUAGAGAUCUGGAGGAAUACCGAUGGCGAAGGCAGCUUCCUGGCAUAAUAUUGACACUGAGAUUCGAAAGCGUGGGUAGCAAACAGGAUUAGAUACCCUGGUAGUCCACGCCGUAAACGAUGUCUACUAGCCGUUGGGGUCCUUGAGACUUUAGUGGCGCAGUUAACGCGAUAAGUAGACCGCCUGGGGAGUACGGCCGCAAGGUUAAAACUCAAAUGAAUUGACGGGGGCCCGCACAAGCGGUGGAGCAUGUGGUUUAAUUCGAUGCAACGCGAAGAACCUUACCUGGUCUUGACAUAGUGAGAAUCUUUCAGAGAUGAGAGAGUGCCUUCGGGAAUUCACAUACAGGUGCUGCAUGGCUGUCGUCAGCUCGUGUCGUGAGAUGUUGGGUUAAGUCCCGCAACGAGCGCAACCCUUUUCCUUAUUUGCCAGCGGGUUAAGCCGGGAACUUUAAGGAUACUGCCAGUGACAAACUGGAGGAAGGCGGGGACGACGUCAAGUCAUCAUGGCCCUUACGACCAGGGCUACACACGUGCUACAAUGGUAGGUACAGAGGGUUGCUACACAGCGAUGUGAUGCUAAUCUCAAAAAGCCUAUCGUAGUCCGGAUUGGAGUCUGCAACUCGACUCCAUGAAGUCGGAAUCGCUAGUAAUCGCAGAUCAGAAUGCUGCGGUGAAUACGUUCCCGGGCCUUGUACACACCGCCCGUCACACCAUGGGAGUCUAUUGCACCAGAAGUAGGUAGCCUAACGUAAGAGGGCGCUUACCAUAGGGUUUUUCCAUUUCGGU